CCCCCUCAGUCCAUCGUGGCGGCCUGGAAAAGCUCCACCAGGUCCUUGUAUUCGGGGUCGAUGAGGUCCGACGGCUUCUCCCCGUCGUCCGUGGUUGCCUCCAGGCUGGCUCCCAGCGACAAGAGUUCUCCCCUGCAUCUGAGGCUCUCUCGAGCCCCUGCACGUGGCCUGGCCCCUGUCUCCUCCAGGACACACGAAGACACCAGCCCUGCACUGCCCAACGGUCAGAAGUUCUUUCCAGAGUGAGGCAUGAGGCAAUCAGCAUAUGUGGGGGCUCGUCUCUGCUGGGAGGUGUGAUGGAUCCGGGCCCCGCUGGGCCUGCUGUGAGCAGCCUGCUGAGCCUGCAGGUGGCAACGGCCGUGUGCCACUCUGGACCCAGGACUGACGGUUCUCCGGGGGCACGGUGUUAUAUAGGCUCUGGGGGCUAUUUUGGGGACGUGGAGCUCAUGCUGCUUACUCCGAUACUUGGUAAUCGAGCUGCUCAGGCCGGAGCCUCCCACUUUUGGGCAGAGGUUGGUGUCUCGUCUUACCGCCCACCUGUUGAUGUGCCCAUCCAAGGGGUCAAAGCUGCUGCUCAGCAUGGACGGCCCUCCAGAGGAGCUCAGAACUUCCAGCAGCAAGUCCUCACAUACACACCAGCAUGCCAGGGAUAGGACACAAAUGCAAUCACCGGGCGAGGGGAGCCAGCUGCUUAUUUAUGAUGGUGCCAAGUACACUCAGACCUGAGUCACUUUCCUGUAGUUGCAUCAGCUGACCUGCAAGGGAGCAGCAUGAGCUGUGCUUCCCAGCACGAUCGCAGCGUGGAGCACAGCCAGGCCAGGAGAACACCAGCAGCACAUGGGUGCCAUGAGUGACCUUCCGAGGGCUGAAAUGCUGCUGGUGUUCCUGGUGAUGCAAACCAGCUGCAUGGUGACUGUGGUCCUGCUUCAAACCUGGAACCAGCUGCUGUAUGACAGUGUGUUAAUACUGAGCAGCUUCACAGCAACAGUACCACUGCCACACAGCUGCUAUGGUCAUUAAAGGCCUGAAACAGGCCAUUAACUAUGAGAUAAAUCAGCCAAGGGCUCAAACAACCGCUCCUCCAUCCUUGUUAUCAUCACGCUUGGUGAUUUCAAGCAUUUUGUGCUGCUUUUGAUGUGGCCUGCCCAGACAGUACAGCCAUGCAACACGUCAGGAAGAAUUCCUAUCCCACUUCAAGAGUCACAGAACAUUCAUUCUGCACUGUUGCAGCUUAACCUUCUACCAAGCUCCUGCCAGGUCAGCCUGUCUCACACCUGGGAAGUGCCUGCUGCAGCUGUCACCUUCUGGCCAAGACACUGAUCUCUGCUCAGCAGUGCUUUGCACCACACAACAGGAGGCCCAGCCAUCUGCUGCAGAGACAGAAGGCUCUCAGCCUGCAGCAGUGAGAUGUAUACACAAGAUGACUCCAACAAAGCCCUGCUCUGCCAAGAGCAGCCUGAGUGCAUGAGAAAGCCCCCCUCCCUUGAACAGAUCUGUAAGCAAUCCAGCCCCACUUCAGAGCUCAGCCUUGUUUACACUUUUACUGGCUCCCCAGAAUUGACCUUUCCGAUUCCUAGCCAGGAACGUUCCCACAGAACUUCUGAGGGUCUUCUUUUGCCCCUCUCCCAAACAUAAAACAGCUUUUUUUAUCCAGAGCCACUACUGACCUGUAGCAUUGCCUAUCAGCAGGCCCAGCACUGCUGCUCUGAAGGUUGGUGCAUAACAAGCCAGCACUGAGCAGUGGGUGGAGCCCAGCGCUCUCUCACUCCUGUGUACCAAAGUUAAGUUAAGCAACUGGCCCCAGCAACCUCCUGAGGUGCCCUCUAGGUUUGCUGUGACAUUUUUAGCAAAUUUCCCCACAAAAAUAUUUUCAGCAGUAAGUGACUGGUGUGGAAAUAGCAAUGUGGCUCACUAGAUCAUGUGAGCCUGACUAGCAGAGCUUCGGGCAGCCCCAGGUUUCCCUGUGGGCAAAUUCCUUGGUUAAAUGCUCAAGAGCAAAGAGGUCCCAUCAUCUCAAGCCAGCUGGCAGCCAGAGCAGCUUACUCUCAGAGCUCCAGCCAAUGCAUGCUGACUGCUAAUAGGGCAUCUGCCUGCAUAAACUCAUUUACUGAGCACAAUAUGUUUAUCUCUGUUUGCAAGUAUAGAUUAGUUAAUAGAAAUUGCUUCAGGCUGUUCAAGGCACGUAGUGCCACCUGCAGAAUUGGAUGGAGCCGGGCAGUGUAACCUUCCACUUAUGGGUUUUUUUUUCCCCAAUACCAUUUAGGUAGAAUCACUCAAGAACCACUCUAAAAGUUUAAUCCUGUCAGAUCAAAUCCAAAUAUUCAGUAUGGGUUCCAGAAAAUAUUUAGAGACAUAAUAGUAUUAAAAUCUCGACUUUAUUUGGCCAACAAAUUCAGUUCCAAUGUUAUUAUAAGCGGAAUGCUAAGAACGAGGCCUGAUGCAGGUCAGGCCUUUGAGGCACUCCCUUGUUCAAGUUCCUCCCCCAAACCCAGUAAUUGCAAAUUCCACGUUUCAUGUAUUUUUUAAUCAGGCCCUCCCAUACCACCCACCUUUCUGGUCAACCCAUUCAAAAUAAUGCAUGGAAAGUGACUGCAAAAUGGUCUUGCAUUUGAUCAAAAGGAUGGCACAGCACAUCUAAGCUGGUGAGCCAGCAAUCACUUCCACCCUCAGAGCCUGCCACAGCCAGUGCACAGUAUUCCACCCUUCCACAUUUUGAAGUCAUCUUUAAGUGUCUUAAAGCAGAAGGGAAAGGAAAUGAAAUGUCUAGCGAGCACGAAGAGAAGCACCUUCACAUCCACCUUCCACCAGGACUGAUGCAGUCAGCCUAUAUUGCCUCUUCCCCUACAUACUUUGAUUCCAGGGAAGAAAAGCUGAGACAAAUAAGAACUCGACAGGUGGAGAAAUCUACAGACUUUUCAAAGAAAAAAAUAAAAAAGGCUUUCUUGGAAGGUAUUAGUGGCAAUGCUCCAGAAUGUUGGGCAAUUAAUUACAUGCUACCACUUCACAACUUUCUUCUACCCAAGAGAACAGAAUACUUGAAACAAAAACUGUGUACAAAAAAGUACAUCACAAUAAAAAAAAAAAAAAAAUAAUGAACCCAGGUGGCUGGGCUGGCUACCCUAGUGAUAGAUCCCUUCUCAAAAGUGAAAAGACAGAAAGAGAUAGUGAAGUGUAAAGACAAGUGAGGGUGAAGCGUUAUUUUAAGAGCCAAUCCCUGGACUUCCAGUCAUUCACCUUCUGCUUUAAAUCUUAAUGGGUUUCUGACUCAUUGGGCUGCGUAACAGCAACCAGUUUAGUGUCUGAUUUUUGGGUGAUGCAGAUCAGUCAUCUCUUUACAAUUCAUCCUUUUGGAUUUUUUGCUCAUCAUCAUCACCUUCUUCAAGAUCUGUUUCUUCAUCUGUCUCCAGAUCUUCCAGAUCCUGUAUAGCAUACAGAAGAUAACUUUGUUUCUGGCCUAUCAGGCACAUUCAAAACCAAAUACUGUGAAGUUAGAGAACCUGUUCUGUUGCUGCCAUCUUAACAACGUAUCCCAAACUUUGGAACUCUUCACAG